UCCUACGGGAGGCAGCAGUGGGGAAUAUUGCACAAUGGGCGGAAGCCUGAUGCAGCAACGCCGCGUGCGGGAUGACGGCCUUCGGGUUGUAAACCGCUUUCGCCUGUGACGAAGCGUGAGUGACGGUAAUGGGUAAAGAAGCACCGGCUAACUACGUGCCAGCAGCCGCGGUAAUACGUAGGGUGCGAGCGUUGUCCGGA
rnacentral:rRNA from 1 species